UGGGGAAUAUUGCACAAUGGGCGAAAGCCUGAUGCAGCAACGCCGCGUGAGUGAUGAAGGUCUUCGGAUUGUAAAGCUCUGUCUUUUGGGACGAUAAUGACGGUACCAAAGGAGGAAGCCACGGCUAACUACGUGCCAGCAGCCGCGGUAAUACGUAGGUGGCGAGCGUUGUCCGGAUUUACUGGGCGUAAAGGGUGCGUAGGCGGAUGUUUAAGUGAGAUGUGAAAUACCCGGGCUUAACUUGGGUGCUGCAUU
rnacentral:rRNA from 1 species